UGAAGUUCGUACACUACAUUACCCUAUCCUUAUAUGUCUUUCUUGAUAAAACAACCUCAAGUCUUCUGUUGGUUAUACGUUUCUUUAAACCGCACAAAUUUGGAGAAAUUGGAAGUUUGCAGUGCAUGCACAUAUUAAAUCUUUUAAUGCUGAAGCAAUUAUUUAUGGAAAGGUUUCCAUAUUGGCGCCAAGGCCUACAAUCACUUGAGGCUACAGCAUACAGUUUCUGAGAAGAAGAGUUUAUGAGGCUAAAGGCUGGAUAUGUUUAUCUUAGUCAAGGAAUACUGCAGCGUGUUGUAUUAGUUGUUUGGUGCGGAUAAAGGAGGCGUACAAUUGCAUACAACAUGACAAGUAGUAAAGCACACUCUUAUUUUCCCAAAGGAAGUGGAUUGUGGUUAUCUUUAUCUUAGAUAUUCUAAUAUUUUCAAACCAUUUUUUUUUAAAAGUAUUUUCAACGAUUAUCAGCUUACCACGGAGUAGCUAGUAAAGAAGUGAACGGGAAAGCUCAAUGAAAGAUGAGAAAGAAGUUUCAUAAGGUUUGAACAAUAAUGUUGCCAACAAGAACAAAAAAAUAAGAAUUGAAUGGAAUACAUUGAUAAUUAGGCAAUUUCAAGCUUACUUGAAUUUUCAAAAAUCAGAGUGAGAAAAGACAGGCAUUUAUAGGAUGCCCACAACUCUAGGCAUUGUGAGAGAGAGUGAGUAGCAAAAGCUUAGUUUAUUUAUUUUUUAACUCUAUUUCCCUCUAAGAAGAGAUAUUUAUAGCAUUACAAGACUCAUACAAACCUAUAAAAUACCUAUUAAUUAUCUACUACCUAAUAUUAACUUAUAAUUUACUCAAUAUAUUUAUUACCUAGCGCUACAUUCUUACUCUCAAAAUAUAGGAAAUGGAAGAAAAAACUGUGAAAUUUCGAGAUCUAAGUUGACUAGGGAUUUGUUUGGGUGGACUUGUGCGGAGUGGGCAAAUUUGGGUAGAUUUAGUUGGAGGCGGGCAGAUCAUGUUAGAGGCAGAUGGAUCAAUGGCUAGUGUGGCUAAAUCAUGUUUGUGUCGUGUGGGUAGAUCUAGGGUUCAAAGUUUUGGUAGAUGCGUAUCUAGGAUGUGAUGUUGGAUCUAAUGAUCAUGAAUGUAACUGUUGAGGCAAAUAUGACUCGUAUUCUUAAAAGUUUAAACCAUACUGAAAUUUAAAUUUUCAAAAUUUCCCACGUAAGUUCAUGAAAUUAAAAGAUAACUCAUAUUCUUACAAAUUAAAAUUAUACUGUGUAAAAGUUAAAAUUCUAAGUAAAUAUUUCUAAAUUGAUGCCUUCAUCAUGCUCCUUCUAACUGAUCCAGUUAUCUUCUUACUUUGUGAUGUGGACAUCGAUUAGAGAUUCAAGCAUGUGUAUCGCCGGAGACAGCACCGAUCGACGGCUACGAUUCAGAGCCUUUAAUUUUUGAUGUAUUUUAUGUUUUAUUUAGUUAGCAUUUUUAUUUCCUAGUUUACCCCCAUGGGGAGUGUUGUCUUAUUGUAGCCCAAAGGGCAUUUGAGUACUUUUAUUUCCUUAUGUUUGAAGACCUAUUUAUAGGGUUCUCAUGCUUUGUAAUAGACUAAUGAAUAUGAUGAAUGAAAAUUU